rnacentral:tRNA from 1 species
GGCUCCGUGGUGUAAGGCACACCAGAUUGCAAGUCUGGAAGCGCAGGCUAAAGGUUCCCUGCCGGGGCUU